ensembl:snoRNA
UAUCCCAUUUUAGUACCAUUUAUUUAUAACUGCAGGAUGAAUGGCUAUGCAAAUGGGAGAAAGGAAACCUGCUUAGUCUGAUGGGAAAAGUGGCUAUUAACCCAUUUUGCCUGAAGGCAAAGGGCAGAACAUGAUUUU